AUUGAACGCUGGCGGCAUGCCUUACACAUGCAAGUCGAACGGCAGCACGGGUGCUUGCCCCUGGUGGCGAGUGGCGAACGGGUGAGUAAUACAUCGGAACAUGUCCUGUAGUGGGGGAUAGCCCGGCGAAAGCCGGAUUAAUACCGCAUACGAUCUACGGAUGAAAGCGGGGGACCUUCGGGCCUCGCGCUAUAGGGUUGGCCGAUAGCUGAUUAGCUAGUUGGUGGGGUAAAGGCCUACCAAGGCGACGAUCAGUAGCUGGUCUGAGGGGACGACCAGCCACACUGGGACUGAGACACGGCCCAGACUCCUACGGGAGGCAGCAGUGGGGAAUUUUGGACAAUGGGCGAAAGCCUGAUCCAGCAAUGCCGCGUGUGUGAAGAAGGCCUUCGGGUUGUAAAGCACUUUUGUCCGGAAAGAAAUCCUUGGCUCUAAUACAGUCGGGGGAUGACGGUACCGGAAGAAUAAGCACCGGCUAACUACGUG
rnacentral:rRNA from 1 species